AUUGAACGCUGGCGGAAUGCUUUACACAUGCAAGUCGAACGGCAGCACGGGAGCUUGCUCCUGGUGGCGAGAGGCGAACGGGUGAGUAAUGCAUCGGAACGUACCUAUUAGUGGGGGAUAACUAUCCGAAAGGAUAGCUAAUACCGCAUACGUCCUGAGGGAGAAAGCGGGGGAUCGCAAGACCUCGCGCUAAUAGAGCGGCCGAUGUUGGAUUAGCUAGUGGGUGGGGUAAAGGCCUACCAAGGCGACGAUCCAUAGCUGGUCUGUGAGGAUGAUCAGCCACACUGGGACUGAGACACGGCCCAGACUCCUACGGGAGGCAGCAGUGGGGAAUUUUGGACAAUGGGGGCAACCCUGAUCCAGCCAUUCCGCGUGAGUGAAGAAGGCCUUCGGGUUGUAAAGCUCUUUCGGCAGGAACGAAACGGUGGUUACUAAUACUAGCUACUAAUGACGGUACCUGAAGAAGAAGCACCGGCUAACUACGUGCCAGCCGCCGCCGUAA
rnacentral:rRNA from 1 species